GACGAACGCUGGCGGCGUGCUUAACACAUGCAAGUCGAACGGUGAAGGGACCAGCUUGCUGGUUCUGGAUGAGUGGCGAACGGGUGAGUAACACGUGAGUAACCUGCCCCCUUCUUCUGGAUAACCGCAUGAAAGUGUGGCUAAUACGGGAUAUUCUGGGUCUGUCGCAUGAUGGGCCCGGGAAAGAUGCGCCUUUGGGUGUUUUUGGUGGGGGAUGGGCUCGCGGCCUAUCAGCUUGUUGGUGGGGUGAUGGGCCUACCAAGGGCGGUGACGGGUAGCCGGCCUGAGAGGGUGGACGGUCACACUGGGACUGAGACACGGCCCAGACUCCUACGGGAGGCAGCAGUGGGGGAAUAUUGCACAAUGGGCGCAAGCCUGAUGCAGCGACGCGGCGUGAGGGAUGGAGGCCUUUCGGGUUGUAAACCUCUUUCGCCAGUGAAGCAGGCCUGCUCCUUGUGGGUUGGUUGACGGUAGCUGGAUAGAAGCGCCGGCUACCACGUGCCAGCAGCCGGGUAAUACGAAGGGAGAAGAUGUGUCCGGAAUCAUUGGAAAAAAAAGCUGGAGGCGCUUGGUCGCUCUUUCCUGAAAACCUAAUGCUAAAUGGGGCCUCUU
rnacentral:rRNA from 1 species